rnacentral:lncRNA from 1 species
GCAGUUUAUCAAAAUGCCAUUUUUGUUUCUUGCUUGGUCAUAACUCAUAUUACAGGUCCUUGCUGCUAAUGUCAUUGCUUUAGUAUGGAAUGUGAUUCUGUCGUAUAAAGCUCACAAAGAAGUUAUCGCAAAAUAGGUGUAUUUCUUUUCCUCAGAACAAAUGUUCCGAAUGUAGAUAAAACAUACAUGGCUUCUGCCUUCUGCAUUAAUAAGGGUUUCUUCAUAAAUUAGAUAUCCAUGCUCUUCUACAGGAUGAUAGAGGGUGGAGAAAGAAAGAAAGAAACAAAAAGAAAGAGAAACAAGGAAACACUGGAUUUCGUAUGACUUGCGCGCAAGUGCUGUGAAUCGUUAUAUGCAGGCCGACCAGAACCUCAACACAUGGUAAAGAAUUUCUCUUUCUGUUCCGCCAAAGGAGUCUCGUUGCAGAUAUUAAAAGAUGUAUUUUUGUUCUAUAUUACCCUUAAAAGUUCUAUAUUAAUUACCGUUAAAAAUAAUAAGUUGUUAGUUUAAUAUCGGUGGAAUGAAUAUAGAAAAAUUCAAGCAAUAUCCAUAUCAUAUUCAAUAAUACUUUGGUGAUGAAAGAUUAAAUACAAAAAGAG